rnacentral:ncRNA from 1 species
UCAGAAGUUUCCCUCAUGAUAGCUGGAGUACGUAAUGAAGCUGUUAUAUUCGGUAAAGCAAAUGAUUAGAGGAAUUGUGGGACGAAUCGUCUUCAACCUAUUCUCAAACUUUUGAUGAGUAUGACGUCUCAUAUACUUGGAUGAAGUGUAGACGUUGAGUGUGUGCUUCACGUACGUCAUUUUUGGUGAGCAGAAGUGACGCUGUGGGAGGAACCAAACGUUGGGUUGCUUCAAACUAUAUUGCAUACACAAUUUACGCUGUGUUCGUAAGCCAGA